rnacentral:rRNA from 1 species
CUUUUACAAUGAAGAGUUUGAUCCUGGCUCAGGAUGAACGCUAGCUACAGGCUUAACACAUGCAAGUCGAGGGGCAGCAUUUCAGUUUGCUUGCAAACUGGAGAUGGCGACCGGCGCACGGGUGAGUAACACGUAUCCAACCUGCCGAUAACUCGGGGAUAGCCUUUCGAAAGAAAGAUUAAUACCCGAUGGCAUAAUUAGACCGCAUGGUUUUAUUAUUAAAGAAUUUCGGUUAUCGAUGGGGAUGCGUUCCAUUAGGCAGUUGGUGAGGUAACGGCUCACCAAACCUUCGAUGGAUAGGGGUUCUGAGAGGAAGGUCCCCCACAUUGGAACUGAGACACGGUCCAAACUCCUACGGGAGGCAGCAGUGAGGAAUAUUGGUCAAUGGACGCGAGUCUGAACCAGCCAAGUAGCGUGAAGGAUGACUGCCCUAUGGGUUGUAAACUUCUUUUAUAUGGGAAUAAAGUUUUCCACGUGUGGAAUUUUGUAUGUACCAUAUGAAUAAGGAUCGGCUAACUCCGUGCCAGCAGCCGCGGUAAUACGGAGGAUCCGAGCGUUAUCCGGAUUUAUUGGGUUUAAAGGGAGCGUAGGUGGACAGUUAAGUCAGUUGUGAAAGUUUGCGGCUCAACCGUAAAAUUGCAGUUGAUACUGGCUGUCUUGAGUACAGUAGAGGUGGGCGGAAUUCGUGGUGUAGCGGUGAAAUGCUUAGAUAUCACGAAGAACUCCGAUUGCGAAGGCAGCUCACUGGACUGCAACUGACACUGAUGCUCGAAAGUGUGGGUAUCAAACAGGAUUAGAUACCCUGGUAGUCCACACAGUAAACGAUGAAUACUCGCUGUUUGCGAUAUACAGUAAGCGGCCAAGCGAAAGCAUUAAGUAUUCCACCUGGGGAGUACGCCGGCAACGGUGAAACUCAAAGGAAUUGACGGGGGCCCGCACAAGCGGAGGAACAUGUGGUUUAAUUCGAUGAUACGCGAGGAACCUUACCCGGGCUUAAAUUGCAUUUGAAUAAUCUGGAAACAGGUUAGCCGCAAGGCAAAUGUGAAGGUGCUGCAUGGUUGUCGUCAGCUCGUGCCGUGAGGUGUCGGCUUAAGUGCCAUAACGAGCGCAACCCUUAUCUUUAGUUACUAACAGGUCAUGCUGAGGACUCUAGAGAGACUGCCGUCGUAAGAUGUGAGGAAGGUGGGGAUGACGUCAAAUCAGCACGGCCCUUACGUCCGGGGCUACACACGUGUUACAAUGGGGGGUACAGAAGGCAGCUACCUGGUGACAGGAUGCUAAUCCCAAAAGCCUCUCUCAGUUCGGAUCGAAGUCUGCAACCCGACUUCGUGAAGCUGGAUUCGCUAGUAAUCGCGCAUCAGCCAUGGCGCGGUGAAUACGUUCCCGGGCCUUGUACACACCGCCCGUCAAGCCAUGAAAGCCGGGGGUACCUGAAGUACGUAACCGCAAGGAGCGUCCUAGGGUAAAACUGGUAAUUGGGGCUAAGUCGUAACAAGGUAGCCGUACCGGAAGGUGCGGCUGGAACACCUCCUUU